rnacentral:rRNA from 1 species
UACAGAGGGUGCGAGCGUUAAUCGGAUUUACUGGGCGUACAGCGCGCGUAGGUGGUUAAUUAAGUCAAAUGUGAAAUCCCCGAGCUUAACUUGGGAAUUGCAUUCGAUACUGGUUAGCCAGAGUAUGGGAGAGGAUGGUAGAAUUCCAGGUGUAGCGGUGAAAUGCGUAGAGAUCUGGAGGAAUACCGAUGGCGAAGGCAGCCAUCUGGCCUAAUACUGACACUGAGGUGCGAAAGCAUGGGGAGCAAACAGG